UCACCGAAAAUUCAAACCCUUCACUACAAAUUUAAAACCCUAACUUUCAUAGAAAUUGAACCCCUUCAGUAAAACUAGAAAAUUUGAACUGUUCCCUUCGCUGCAAACUUCGAAGGAAUUGAUUGCAAACUUGGAGGCUACUCAUUCAUAUGAUUGCUACCUUGUGUACAUUCUCACUGAAAUGGCUGGAAGUACAUCAAAUGACUGAAAUAGUGUUCACUCGGACAUGUGAUGCAACUCAUCUUCUUGCUUUGAUUCUUAGGAAUCUCGAUUUGAAAGCCAUCCCAAUUAAUGGUCAUGUGAGUCAGGUAUUUCCUGUUGCUCAAAAGGAAUUUUGUGGAUUCAAUCCUUUUACAACAUUUGUGUGCUAUAGAAUUAUUUUAUAAUAUGAGGUUCUACACAAACUUAUAAGCUAUGAGUUUUGGUACAUCUCUCACUCUUCAUUCUCAAACAUAGGAAAUUCACACAAAGGUUCAAGUUAUUGACAUCUAUCUAGUCUCUUUUUAAUCCACACAAAGGCUUUACAAAAUGCUGCUUAUAAAGCUGAUUGGUAUGUUCUCUAUAUAGUGUGCAGUAUGUCACAAUCUACGGAAGUUGUUCAUGAGGUACGGUUAUAAUUUUAAUGAUAUGCAGUUUCCCCAACACAUUAAGAAGGGAUAUGAAGUUUUUUCAAGACUUAGAAUAAUUCAUUAUUGUGUUGGUUCUCUCUGUGUUAUAAUUGUAAUUAGUUUGUAGUUAGUUACUUAUUUCUUCAUGAGUGAUAUUACCCCUUAAAUUAGUUUGUAAAUUUGUUCUUAUGUAAUUUAAAUUGGGGAAAAUAAAUUACUCUCAUUUGGAUA